AAUGCUCUACUAGUUGGUCAGAUAGGCAGAUUGAGUCGCGAGAUGGUAGUAAUCACCACUCUGUGCAAGAAAAGAUUGAGAUGGUCACCAUAAUGGGGAUGGCAUAUCGACAUGAAUUGUCCUCAUAACUUAGCAGAUCGAUUACAAAGUUUCUUCGAAGAACUUUUGCAUCCUACACACAAAGACAUAAGAGAACAAAACGUCAGGUUUUUAUUAUAUAACCGAAAUGUAUGUUUGAACAUGACACGAACUUAGGUCACUCACUCUAACAAAUUUCAUUCGUCUGUUAUUCCCCUCACAUGGCCAUAGCUUGUAGAACAAGGUAGCUAGUAUUAACCCUAUAGAAUAAUGUUUGACAACUAUGUUAUAUACAA